rnacentral:rRNA from 1 species
UACAGAGGUCCCAAGCGUUGUUCGGAUUCACUGGGCGUAAAGGGUGCGUAGGUGGUUGGGUAAGUCUGAUGUGAAAUCUCCGGGCUCAACCCGGAAAUGGCAUUGGAUACUAUUCGGCUAGAGGUUUGGAGGGGGGGGACUGGAAUUCUCGGUGUAGCAGUGAAAUGCGUAGAUAUCGAGAGGAACACCAGUGGCGAAGGCGAGUCCCUGGACAACACCUGACACUGAGGCACGAAAGCUAGGGGAGCAAACAGG